AUGUGCCUCGGCGUUUCAAAGAGAGACAGAGAAAUGUGGGGGAUUCUGAGAGAAUCAAGAGUUAGGGGCUGGGGGGUCAAAACACAGAGGAAACUGGGGAGUCCAAAGACAAAGAGAACGAGGGGCCUAGAGACAGAAAAACAGACCGGAGGGAAGCUGGGAGGGAGGGCCCGGGACGGAGCGGGGCGGUGGGGUCGACCCGAGCCCGACGGGAGGAAGCCGGCCGGGGGCGGACACACGCCCAGACGGAAGGGAGGUCCCGAGACUGACCGAAGGGAGGGGCCCUCGGGGAGAGGGUCCGCGGCGGCAGAGGGAAGGACGGAGGAGGGUGCACGCACCCGGAGACAGGACGAGAGAAAAAGGCACCCUCCUCUAGGGCACCCCCACGCCCCCAACCCUGGGCGGGCCCUGAGGCCACUUCGGAGUGCAGUAGCGACUGGGACAGGGCCUAGGGGCCGCUCGGACCCCCUCUCCUCCCCCUCCCCUCGGCCUCCGCCCGGCGCGCGCUCCCCGCCCCCACCCCAACCCCCCCAACCGCCGGCACCCAACGUCCCCGGCGCGCAUCCCCUCCCCCGCGCCGCACCUACAUCCCCCUUACCGGGGUCGCCCCGGCAGGCCACGGCGGGCGCCCCCACACCCCGUCCUGUUCGCGUCGGCGCCCCGGCUCCGACUCAGUCUCCUCCCGCUCCCUUCUCGCCCCACGACCUCCUCACCGAGCUUUUUCCUCCGGCCCCGGCGCCGCCGUUUGUGCCAGCCGCCCUGCGCCGCACAGCGCGCCAUACCCCGCCCCCACCGCGCGCGACGCCCCGCCCCGCCACGCCCGUUGGGCACGUGACCGCGCCCCCGCGGAGGCAACGGCGCCUGCGCAGACCUGAGCCGCGCUGGGCGAGGAAGUUCGGGACAACCCCCCAGCCAAGGAGAAAGGAAACAGGGCCGCCGACACGAGGUUUAUUUGCAUCAUCCUCCGCCCCGCCCCCUUUGCACGGGUGGGGGAUCGCAGUGUGA
rnacentral:lncRNA from 1 species